AGAGUUUGAUCCUGGCUCAGAAUCAACGCUGGCGGCGUGCCUCAGACAUGCAAGUCGAACGCGAAAGUUCCCUUCGGGGGGCAAGUAGAGUGGCGCACGGGUGAGUAACACGUAGGUAAUCUACCUUCGGAUGGGGAAUAACAACCGGAAACGGUUGCUAAUACCGCAUAAUGCAGCGGCACCUAAUGGUGACAGUUGUUAAAGCGGGGGAUUGAAAGACCUCGCGUCUGAAGAGGAGCCUGCGGCAGAUUAGCUAGUUGGUAAGGUAACGGCUUACCAAGGCGACGAUCUGUAGCCGGCCUGAGAGGGCGGUCGGCCACACUGACACUGACAUACGGGUCAGACUCCUACGGGAGGCAGCAGUCGGGAAUUUUGGGCAAUGGGCGAAAGCCUGACCCAGCAACGCCGCGUGAAGGAUGAAAUCCUUCGGGAUGUAAACUUCGCAAGAACGGGAAGAAUAAGUCUGUGUUAACACCACAGGUGAUGACGGUACCGUUUAUAAGCUCCGGCUAACUCCGUGCCAGCAGCCGCGGUAAUUC
rnacentral:rRNA from 1 species